rnacentral:lncRNA from 1 species
UCAUAAUUUUUUUCUUUGAAUCUAGAUCUGAAAGAGAGUAGAUUCUUUCUUAGCCACGCAAGCAUUCAAUCUCUAUGGGUAUCCACUCGAAAUCAAUUUAGAACAACCGUCUAAGAUUUUGAUCUUUUUUUCUCCAAGAAUGAUCACACAGCAGAUUUGAACGAAGCCUGAAUCACGAUCAAUUUUUUGAUCUUUUUUUUUUUGAUCUCCUUUACUUGAUGUAACAGCAACCAAGCUUUGAAAAUCAGCUACCAAGAAGGAUGCCCAAACUCCUUUUGGGCAUGCAGAUGGAGGAUGCCCAACCACCUUGGACAUUGGAACCAAAGGGUAGAAGAGAGGGGAGGCAUGGGGCUGCUGGAAAUUUGAUGAUAAGAGCCACAGAGAAGGUCCCUUUAAAGAGGCAAAAGAUUUGAAUCCUAUUCAAAACUAAAUAGCCCUUUAAUAUAAGUCCUACUUUCAUUAGGAAUCCUUAUAGCUUUAGAUCUUUGACCCCUUUUAAGAGAUCCAUAAGGCGCCAAUUAUUGGAGCCCUUUAACCCACUUUCUCAUAUGCCACAUAGGGGUUAUGGGAUGCCCCUUGCUGGUCCUUUAUGCCCUCUUUCAAGUGGGCAUGCCCAACUUGAUCAAAUCAAGUGGCGUCCCAAGUUAAACAAUCAAGGAAAUGCUUAAGGGUUUGAACCCUUAAUGCAUAUGAUCCAAAACUCUAGGUGACUAACAAUUGAAACUCAAUGAAUCUAAAAUUAUUUAGAUUAUUAGCAGAUAAUUAACUUGAAUUAAUCUUAUCAAAAUAAGUAAUUCAAGUGUAAAAAAAAAAAUAAGUUCAAUCAUGUACUAGUAAGAUUAUCCUGAACCGAAUAAGAUUUCUUUAAACCCACUUGAGACUUCAUAAGCCCA